rnacentral:lncRNA from 1 species
CGCUCCGCUGGUUGCGCUUCCCCAUCCGUCAGGCUCCAGCUCUGGGAAUCAUGUCUUUUCCUUGAGUGGUGGUGGGGUUUGGGGGGCGUGUGGCACAUUCCUGGUGUUGGGGGCUGCAGGGGCUCGGCUCUCCCGGGCCCAGGAGACAGGUGAAGCCCUCAGUUUGUUGGGUAGCGAAGGCAGGUAGCUCAGGAAGGAGAGUUCACGCUUGUCUCAAGCAGCCACCUGCCGUCCUGGGGACCUGGAGCAGUGGCCCAGGAGGUUGUGCUCAAGUGACAUUGAGGAGAAACCAUGCAAUUAUCCAACUGUACUGACACCAUUAGGGAGCUUGAGCUGGAUCACAGGACUGGUCAAGCCCUUCAGUCCACUUGAAAACACUUUACAAUUUCUGGGAGCUGGACUGACAAACACACAGAGCUCAUUGCUGAACUACAGAAGUUGGACACAAGCUUUGAGGCCAUGUGGUUGA